rnacentral:rRNA from 1 species
UACGAAGGGGGCUAGCGUUGUUCGGAAUUACUGGGCAUAAAGCGCACGUAGGCGGACUAUUAAGUCAGGGGUGAAAUCCCGGGGCUCAACCCCGGAACUGCCUCUGAUACUGGUAGUCUAGAGUCCGGAAGAGGUGAGUGGAAUUCCAGGUGUAGCGGUGAAAUGCGUAGAUAUCUGGAGGAACACCGGUGGCGAAGGCGGCAUCCUGGACCGGUAUUGACGCUGAGGCGCGAAAGCUAGGGGAGCAAACGGG